AGGCCCAUUGUUUCUACGCCCCGUAGAAGGCCCAUUGUUUCUACGGCCCUUAGAAGGCCCAUUGAUGAUGCGGGCCGUAGAAGGCCAAUCACUACAAAAAAUAUACACUUCCGUGAUGAUACGUGUUUGUCACAGUAGGUCACGUUUUCUGUCAUGCAUGUACAUCCAUGACAAUUUUCUGACAGAUUCAAGAUAGUCAUACCUGUGCUGUCGUAGAAGUGUUCCAUGACAUUACCAAAAUUAUCAUCACGGAAGUGUCCACUUCCAUGACGAUAAAUCGCGCAUCACAGAAGUGCUUUCGUCAAGGGUGACCAACACGUGGCAUCCACCGUAACGGAAUGCCGUUAAGCUAUCGGGUCCGGUUUUGGAUCCAAUAACCCGUUAACAGCCCCGACAAAUGGGGAUUUUCCACGUGUAACAUCGUCAUUGGCCGGAGGGAACACGUGUCGGCUUGCCGUUGGGACAAAUGUCAUCCACUCAUUGGACCCAAAGUGCCUAUGAUACGUCGACACGUGGCAUGACCCAACAGAGGCCCAUUCCUGUGAAAAGGCCAGCCCAUUUGACUUGGUCAAAAGGUGGCAGGCCGGCCCACGGCAAGCCUGUUAACGACAUGUUCGCAUAUAGCCCCUUUACAGCCUGCUAACCCAGGGCCCGUUUACGACCUAUCCAAAUUAGGCCCAGUAGCGUCAUCUGGGCCGUCCAAUAUAAUUCCAGCCCGUUUUAACUUCCGGCCCAUGUAAGGCCCAUGACGUCUUUCGGCCCAUAUGAGGCCCUUAGUAACCCUCGGCCCAUUAACGGCCCGUGGUAAAACUGGCCCGUAAUGAACAGUGUAUCACUUUAUACCCAUUAAUGGCCCAUUAUUCCGUUGGAUCAUUUCCAGCCCAUGUUAUCUUUCGGCCUUCUCAGGGCCCAUUUAUUCUUGGGCUCAUUUCUAGCAUUCGUUUACUUUUGGCCCGUUACUGUCAUUUUCUGCUUGUGGGCCAAAUUCAGCCCGUGGUUACAGUCGGCCCGUUUGUGUCCCGUUAAUAAGUUGGGCCAUUUUCAUAGCGUCAUCAAAUACGGCCGAUUAACGACGGCCCGUUAUGGUCGGCCCAUAAACGGACGAUUUCAACUCUAGCCCAUUUACGGCCAUAAUGUGGUUUGUUAUUGGCCCAUGUUUGGCCAACCGAUCAUACGGCCCGUAGAAGGCCCAUUGAUGAUACGGCCCAUAGAAGGCCCAUUGUGUCGAUGGCCCGUAUAAGGCCCAUUGUUUCUACGCCCCGUAGAAGGCCCAUUGUUUCUACGGCCUGUAGGAGGCCCAUGUUAACUACAGUAAAUAUCUAGCCCAUGGUUAAUGUGGCCUAGUUUUAAAAAAUAGGUUAUUGCGGCCACUAGCAAACCGCAAAAAAAGAACUGCACUGACUACAAGAAAAAAAAAACAAGACAAUAAGGAUAUAAAUAGGCAAGCAACUUACGCUAGGCUAUCACGGCUAUUACACAUAUUACAUUCACUAGGCAUCAAAGUUCGCCACCAGUGCAAAUAUAGGGAACAAAGAAGCAUAUAAACGCCGCAGCAAAACAAGUCCAGAACUGAAAUCACUUCAGAAGAGCUCAAGAAACAAUAUCCUGGGUACCCAUAAUGCUG
rnacentral:lncRNA from 1 species